GAUGAACGCUGGCGGCGUGCUUAACACAUGCAAGUCGAGCGAAGCGCUUUGGUUAGAUUCUUCGGAUGAAGACCUUUGUGACUGAGCGGCGGACGGGUGAGUAACGCGUGGGUAACCUGCCUCAUACAGGGGGAUAACAGUUAGAAAUGACUGCUAAUACCGCAUAAGACCACAGUACCGCAUGGUACAGGGGUAAAAACUCCGGUGGUAUGAGAUGGACCCGCGUCUGAUUAGCUGGUUGGCGGGUAACGCCUACCAAGGCGACGAUCAGUAGCCGGCCUGAGAGGGCACCGGGCACAUUGGGACUGAGACACGGGCCCAAACUCCUACGGGAGGCAGCAGUGGGGAAUAUUGCACAAUGGGCAAAGGCUGAACCAGCCAAGUCGCGUGAGGGAUGAAGGUUC
rnacentral:rRNA from 1 species